rnacentral:misc_RNA from 1 species
UGUUUGCGUGCGUGUGUGUUGCUCUCCUCUCUCGUUAGCUGACGGCUGUCUCGCUUUCGGGCACCUCUGCACGCCCGCCUUGGUGUGUGCGGCCUCACGCCCGUCUCCGAUUCCGCCCUCCUCUUCUCUCUUCUCAGCUCACCCACACACACACACACACAUUCACAUUCGUCUUCCAAAGCCACUCGUUGGAAGACACAAACAACAAGCGCGGCGAGCGCGGGAAAGACAACGGAGCGCGGUUGUGUAUAUGACUGGUCUGUCCGUGCCUCCGAAAUAAGCACACGCACACGCGCGCGCUCUCUCCCAUUAGUCUCACAUAGAUCAACGUAGAGCUUUCAUCCCUUCCUCCUUCUCCUUUUUGUCGGUGUUGUCCUUCGUUUUCCUCCACUGCCUUCUUCCCUCUCCUCUCCUUCUUAGAGCUCGCUCGAGUACGUUUGUCCGCCAUCAUCACCACCGUCAGAGCCAGCGGAUACGUUGCCCCUCCCCUCUCCCCGGUACGCGCCACUACUCUUGCUGCAGCCUCAUUCUCGUCUCUCUCUCUCUUUACUCCUUUCCUCACCCUCCAGCCUGAGCUCCGAGCGCGCAUGCGUAGGAAGUCAGUAAGGUACGACCACACCACACGAUCAUGCGAGCUCCCAUCGUACAGCUGGAGGACUACCGACUCAUGGAGCCCUCGCCGUCGCCACCCGCGGUGGCGCGGAUCCCUCUCCCGGGCUCUCACGUCAGCGAUAGUCAAGCGAGCCACGGCAUUCGCUCGGAUGAUCUGUUGUGGUCAUCCAGCGCCGCGCGGUCCUCUCCGUCAUUGUCCGAACCGCGAAACAGCACGAAGCGCACGCAGAGCCGCGGCGAAACCUUUGAUCUCGUUGACACCGAGGCCGAUAUUCCGUCUCUAUCACAGCCCCGCGUGCCGCGCAGUGUGUCGCACAGCCAGGGCUCCAGCCAGCGCCGCCCCAGAGGUGCCAUCAAUGUGGAGCGCUCUGGCUCUGCGUGCGCGACUGCGGGCGCUGUGGAGCCCUUGGCGACGCGCUCGGUGAAUGCGCUACCAACGUCCUCUCGCAGUAACCGACGCCCUGGCUUACUUGCAGCCGUUCCUGCGCCUCUCUUCACGUGGGAGGAGGGUGACAACGAAGGCCGCGCCAGCGACGUGACAGCAGAAGAAGAGGACGAGAAGCAGUGUCUCACUCAGCCAGGGGCGCCGCGGUGGCCCUCAUCCUGGAGCCAGCAGCAGAAUCAGAUGGGCGGGAGUAGAGGCAGCGGCAGCAGCACAUCGCAGCAACGACGAUCAUCGGUGCUUGGACCCGACCCGCGCGACUGCAUCGACUUGUACGACGACGACGUUGCGGAAGAGGCCCGUGAGAGCCCGCUGCCCUAUGACCAGCAGAAGCAGGCGAUGCAUGCCCUGGCCUGCGACCUCGCUGCCCUCGUGAACGCCGGCACUGUAGACCGGUGCCGCAGCGACAGCCGCGGGCAAGUAGACCUGAUCGGCAACGAUGUUGCUGACCAAGUCACAAAGAACACAGUCGACGCAUGCGACCGCGUUGAGUCGGCACGCAGCGCUGGCCACAGCAAUGACGCUGGCGACGACGUCAACGCGAGCUACGAGUUUGAGCAGGAGUACUUCUACUGCCCUACCACCCCGCCUGAGACGGUGGGCCCCGGUGAAAGUGGUGAAAGGGCCGCGAGUGUGCUGCGCGGGGCAGAGACACCGAGGCGCGCCGUAUCUGACUCGUCCUCGUCCUCCUCCACCCCGCGGUGGGUGCUGUCUCUCGCCGAAGAAACCCCGUUCACCCCCUUCGUCCUCUCAGCCACCGGCGUGGCGACGGCGCCGACGCCGUUCCUUCACGUGAGUCCAGCAAUAAGGGCAACAGCAACGGCGGUUGCUGUGGCAACAGAGGAGCAACUGAGGCAAGGGCACCUCGGGACAAGCACCGGAGCGCAGCAGCAGAUGAGGAUGCCAACACAGCGUCUAUCAGUCCACAAGCUAGUGGCAGCGAUACUCUCCUCUACGUGCACCGGAACUGCAUCGGGCACCGCAGCACCAGUACUAGCAGCGGCACCCAUACCAAUGGCCAGCGCCGCCGACGAGGCGGAGGACGUAUCAGAGAGACGGCCGGAGGAGCCCCUCCCUCGCCGACCACCUGGCUGCGACGAGGGGAUGCUGGUGGAGCGGGAGCGGCUGCGCCAACGCGUACGAGACACACAAGCUAGGCUCACGCAUGUCGAUCAACUCAUGGCCCGCUUCGACGUUGUCGUGGCAGCACGUCAAGCGGAAUUGGAGAAGCUCCGCGAGAAGCAGGCGGUGAUGGCGCAACAGGCUGAUAGUUACAAGUCACGAGCGGCCACUGCCACCAGAGAGGUGCGUCGUUUGCGCGAGCGGCAGCACGGCCAGGACGAGGUGCGCCUGCUGUGCAACAUGAUGGCGGAUAAAAAGAAUCGCCUGCACGUCGCGCAGAGCCAACUCUCGCGGCUCCAAAACCUGUGGAAGCAGCUACAGCUGUUGCACACCGCGACAGCAGGGACGACAGAGGGUGACGCGGAAGAAGGCGCUGACCAUGUACGGAGCGCAAGAGCCGAUGGCGCUACAGAUGGCGGCAGCGCAGAGGACCCACGAGAAAAGGAGAGGACACCGUCGUCCCCAGCCAGCUCCGUCGCCUCCCUCGACACGUGCAAUGACAUCAGCGACUUUCUCGAGGAACUGCUCGGCGAGGUCGAAGACCUCGCAAAGGUGUGCAUUCAGCUGCCUUCCGCCCCACCAGCAGCGGCGUUGUCGAGCUGCAACAGCAUGCGCCGCCUAACGAUCAAGCAUCCCAGUGGCGCUGCAGAUCAAGGGCUGCAGCGCGCCCAACCAUCACAGUCCCGACCCACCUACACCACGCUGAACCGCCGCCUCAACAACGGAAACAACGGCUUCUUCAGUUUCUUUGGCGGGGCCACGGAGGCACAUCUGGACUCGAAACCACUCUCGACGUUCUUGGCCAAUCUCGAUCGCCUAGCGCGAACGUCGUGGGAGCGGGAAGAGGAGCUGCAGCUACGCGCGCGGGAGCUGGCAACCGAAGAGGAAGAGGAUUCUCUCAAAGCCCGUCUUGCCCUCGAGUACGGCGUCAAGCUCCAGCAGCCUCAGCUUCCGCAACACCUGAGCGGCAGCAGUGGCAGCGCCGGCGAGAAAAUGGGCGCGCUGUCCCCCUUGUCGCCGGUUGCGCUGUCGUCGGAGAGGGAGGAGGAGCACCUCAGCAACGGAAGGGCGAACGGGACACCGGCCCUCACGUCUCCAAUCGGCCGGCUCACUCCGCCAAACGACGCCGUCGCGGCGUCCACGGACCGUGCGACGCGUCAGAUUUCCCUUUCCUCACCGGAGCACGGCCGGCGCAGCCGCGGCAGCAGCGUCGGCCCCCGCACGCCAAACGGCAUCGUCCCCCUCCCCUCCUCCGCCGCCUCUUCGCUUUCGCACCACCGCGUGACCCCAGCACCGUUUCUGCUGCCGACGCUGGUGUAUGCCUACCCCCGCGUGGCAGCUGUGAGUCAGCACCUUGACGCUGAGCAACAGCAGAUCCAAGCAGACUACGCCGCCGCCAUCGAGGCAGAGCGGCAGGGCAGACGACAACUCACCAUGCAGCUGAAUGACACCUACCGGCAGCACGUAGCCCCGGUGCUGCGUCGCGCCAUCGAUGCCUUGCGGCGACAUCAGGCGUCGCUUGCGAGGCAGCUCGCCGAGCUCGGGGUCAAGGCUGUCACCAUUCAGUGGGAAGAGGAGGAGCCGGAGGAGUUCAACGACGCCGCACUGCUGCGCGCGAUAGACAGUGCCACGGCGGCUGGCCAGAAGCCACUGUGGGGAAUUCAGUGGCGCCGCGCCACAAGUGGUCGCAGCCGCAGCCGCGCCAGUGCGAAAGUAUCAACACGCGAAAAGGAGGAGGACAGCUACGGCGAUGCCCCAGACAGCCAGUGCACAUCGCUAGCGCGGUCGGAGUACGGUGGGCUGCGGAGUGGGGCAGCUGCGACACCGCCGCCAUGCCGCAUAUAUCGACGUACACUAAGAAUCACGUGCGCUGCAACGUGCAAGCGAAGCAACAUAGGAAGAGAAGAAGCAGCAGCGAUACCUGUGACAUCGCCGCCGCUGUCGGGCCGACACCCUCGCCAGACCACCAUGCGUCAACGCCCCAGCAGCACGAGGCCAAGCACGGGUCACGGCUGCCUAAGCGCGUGGUCGGCGUGCAAGCGUCCCUCAUCGGCCUCCUGCCCUUCCGAGACGCCUGCAGAGCCGAACAUCACGACGCCCUUGGCCGAAUCGCUGACGGGAACCUCGUCCAAGGCGUGCGCCGCGCUGCAGCUCUGCACGCAUUCCCCCACCAAAGCGCUCCAUCCUGGCCGCAGAAACGCCCACACCGCGGCGGGAGAGACAGAGGGUUGCGCCAGAGCUGCGGCGGUCAGCACCGCCAUCGCGCAUGCAGGUGUGACGGUAUCGCCGCGGCGGGCCCCUGUCAGAACUGCCGUCACACCCAUCGCCACGUCAUCGUUCCGGCGAAGUGGCGGCACACCCCGUGCCUCUGGCGCAACCGCCGAAUCGGCGAUGACGCGAGCUUCCACUGCAGUUGGAAGUGGGCGGAACAGCAGAGGCUGCGCCAGCGCAGUGAUGCCGCCAUCACCGCGUCAGAGCUGCGGGUGUGCCGCCUCACCAACCUUCUCGGCAACGAGUCGGCAGCACCGUUGCAGCGGCGGCCCCAGGCCUCGUGCUGUGUCGGCGCAAGUCGGUCGAUCCGCAGCGCCCUGCUCUUCCCCGCAGCACCCUGUUGUAGAAGACGUCCGCGAGUUGGCAGCGGCGGCCGACAGCGCAUUUUCUGCCUCGACGCGCGUGAACAUGUCGACCUUAAUGACGGCCAAUGUCUGGAGCCCCUUCCAGCGCACUGGCCAAGCCCUCGCUGACGGUGCUGUUCGCGUGGCUCUCACCUUCACAGGUGAAGAGGCGCGCCGCCGCCAAGCAGCCCAAGCGCGGCAGGAGGCGCAUCAGCGGAAGUUCUGGGAGCUUCGCGAGGAGCUUGCUCGCAUUGAAGAAGACACCUUUCAGCUUCGCACUCGCUGGACAGAGUUGCAGAGCACUCGGCAGAGCAUCGAAACGGAGCAUCGCACCAAACUCGCGGAGGCGGAAGCGAAGAUGAAGAAGUUCCGCACCUUCUACGAAUCACUCCGACGGGAAAACAAGGAGUGGCAGAGCAUCCGCGACGAACUGGAGCGGGUGAUCCGCGGCGAAUAGGGUCUCUGAAUGACAAGGGCAAGGUGCGUAGGAGGGAACGGCACAAUGACAGGCGGUGCCGCUGCCUGUCGGGGUGCCGUCGUUGUUGGAUGAUGGCUUCAUGUCUCUCUGCAUGUGCGCAUUUUGUUUAGAGGUGCUGUCGAAUCGAUACACGGAGGAGAGGAGGAAGAGGGGGAGAGAGAUCAGGGAAGGCAGCGUUGGCAGCCGUGCCGCGUCCGCUCCGUCCACCACCAUCGUCCCGCCUUUUUCUUUUUGGCCUCCUCCCGGCAUGAAGGCCGUCGCUGUCGGUAUAUCGUUGUCGUUGUUGUUGCUGGCGUUGAUGCCGGUGUUAUCGAUUCUUUCUGUGUGCGUCUCCCUCUCUCUUUCCCGCUUUACCACCGUGUACUUUUCCCACUGCGGCUAGAUGCAAGCAACGUUCUUCUUCUGUCUUCCCCCCCCGUGUGCCCUCCGUGUCCAUCGGUGCCCUUUCGCUCGCUCGCCCGCUUGCGGGUGGAGACGGGGGAAGGAGAGGGGAGCGUCCAUCGUCCUGUCACGCUACUCGGCAGAUGUAAGCGGAAAGAAAGGAAAAGAAUCAUAAGGUUUACGCGUGCCCCAGUGCAAGGCGGUAAAGCGUGCCAUCCAGCCGCUGAUGCAGCCUGGACGGAAGUUGCGGCAUAUACCACGCUGCUCAAGCGGAAACCAAGCAGAUCCAUCUGCGCCUGUCUGUACACGCGGUGUCGCACUUUUCGCGGCUGCUAAGGUGUGUCUCGGGUCCUGGUGUGCGGAGAGGGGGGGGGGGCAACGAAAGGAAAGGAUGAUGAAGCGCUGACCGAAGCCGAGUGCACCUCUCUCUUCCGCCUCGCCCUCUCACUCUAUGUCCGUCUUUCCUCAGCAUCCGUCAUGCAUGUCAUAUGCGCCUCUCGCUGGGCACCACCUUCAACUUCCUCCCCCUCUUCCUCCUUCGCUGAGACUUCUGUUGCAUGUGAUCGUCGUGCAG